AUCAGCAGUCUGUGAGUUCAACCCUAGGUAGAGGCACAUAUUUCUCUCUCUGGGCACAAUGAGAAUAUAUCUGCUGAACAAAACUCUGCAUUGAUGACAGGAAGGGCAGCUGGCCAGUAAACAUUCUGCUAGCUCUGUUUAAUUGCCCAUACUCCACCCCGUAAGGGAUUAUGGGGUCAUUAAAAGAUGA